rnacentral:rRNA from 1 species
UACGUAGGGGGCGAGCGUUGUCCGGAUUUAUUGGGCGUAAAGAGCUCGUAGGCGGUUUGGCAAGUCGGGUGUGAAAACUCCGGGCUCAACUCGGAGACGCCACUCGAUACUGCUAUGACUUGAGUCCGGUAGGGGAGUGCGGAAUUCCUGGUGUAGCGGUGAAAUGCGUAGAUAUCAGGAGGAAUACCGAUGGCGAAGGCAGGUCUCUGGGCUGACACUGACGCUCAUGCACGAAAGCGUGGGGAGCAAACAGG